AUGGCGCGGCCGGGCACACUCGUCCUCGUCGCCGGCGCCGUCCUGCUCCUCCUCCUGUGCGGCGCGGCGAUGGGGGCGAAGCGGGCGGCGAUCCCGGACGACCUCCGCGACGUGGUGGACGACGAGGAGGACGAGGACUGGCGGCGUUGGGGCGCCGGCUCCGGGACGCGGGACGUCCCCGAUCGGCCGCCGCCGGACCUGUCGCGGAUGGACCCCGCCGCGCUCCGGGAGGAGAUCCUCCGCGGCCACGGCGGGCCCUCGCUCGGCUUCGUGAAGCUCCGCCCCGGCGUCCGGCGGUCGAGGGAGGAGGUGGCGGGGAUCGCGACGCGGUGGAGCAACGUGCUGCGGACCGGGUCGGUGGCGGCCAAGUUCGUGGCCGUGGACUUCGGCACGCUCAUGUUCACCAUGGAGAGAGGGCGAGACAUGCGCGAGUUGAAGGAGUUCAUUCUAGGGCAGCCUGAGGCGUACGAGUUCAAGGUCGGGGACCAGUUUUUCCGGAGGCCCGGAGACCCACCCCUGGACCAAGUUAUCCAAAUGCUACGGAAACAGACGAAGAAGGAAGAUGAACUGUAG
rnacentral:rRNA from 1 species